GACGAACGCUGGCGGCGUGCCUAAUACAUGCAAGUUGAGCGAUGAAGAUUGGUGCUUGCACCAAUUUGAAGAGCAGCGAACGGGUGAGUAACGCGUGGGGAAUCUGCCUUUGAGCGGGGGACAACAUUUGGAAACGAAUGCUAAUACCGCAUAACAACUUUAAACAUAAGUUUUAAGUUUGAAAGAUGCAAUUGCAUCACUCAAAGAUGAUCCCGCGUUGUAUUAGCUAGUUGGUGAGGUAAAGGCUCACCAAGGCGAUGAUACAUAGCCGACCUGAGAGGGUGAUCGGCCACAUUGGGACUGAGACACGGCCCAAACUCCUACGGGAGGCAGCAGUAGGGAAUCUUCGGCAAUGGACGAAAGUCUGGCCGAGCAACGCCGCGUGAGUGAAGAAGGUUUUCGGAUCGUAAAACUCUGUUGGUAGAGAAGAACGUUGGUGAGAGUGGAAAGCUCAUCAAGUGACGGUAACUACACAGAAAGGGACGGCUAACUACGUG
rnacentral:rRNA from 1 species